UUAACACAUGCAAGUCGAGCGGAAACGAUGGUAGCUUGCUAUCAGGCGUCGAGCGGCGGACGGGUGAGUAACGCGUAGGAAUCUGCCUAGUAGUGGGGGACAACAUGUGGAAACGCAUGCUAAUACCGCAUACGCCCUACGGGGGAAAGGAGGGGAUCUUCGGACCUUUCGCUAUUAGAUGAGCCUGCGUGAGAUUAGCUAGUUGGUGGGGUAAAGGCUCACCAAGGCGACGAUCUCUAGCUGGUCUGAGAGGAUGAUCAGCCACACUGGGACUGAGACACGGCCCAGACUCCUACGGGAGGCAGCAGUGGGGAAUAUUGGACAAUGGGGGGAACCCUGAUCCAGCCAUGCCGCGUGUGUGAAGAAGGCCUUAGGGUUGUAAAGCACUUUCAGGAGUGAGGAAGGGUGUGCCGUUAAUACCGGUAUAUUUUGACGUUAACUCCAGAAGAAGCACCGGCUAACUCUGUGCCAGCAGCCGCGGUAAUACAGAGGGUGCAAGCGUUAAUCGGAAUUACUGGGCGUAAAGCGCGCGUACGUGGUUUGUUAAGUCGGAUGUGAA
rnacentral:rRNA from 1 species